ACUUUCUGUUUUCCAUGGGUAGUGCCUCUGGUCAAGCCAAAUUAUUUAUGCUUAAAUAAACUUAAGCAAAUGUGAGUUUAAAAGAUAAAACUACGGUUGUCAUUCUGUGACUACAAUCAACCCUAAUCGAACAAUGGUAAAUUAUACAGUGGGAGUUCAAUUGAUGCACCUGGCUCUGUUCUUUACUUUUCUUGGUAUCCAUCACACACUUGAAUGGCAAAUCUUGGAUGUCUGAAGUGUCUUUUUUUCUGAACCAUGUUUUUGCUUGUUAUUAUGAAAUUUUGCUCGUCACUGAUUGUGAAUCUCUUGUCAACAGGAAGCUGCCAAGGGUGGUGAUGAUGAGGACGAUGACCUAGAGGUAAGCACUGCAUCUAUCUUAAUUCUCCCUGGGUCAUUUACUAUCCUCGGCAUUCUACUUGAUCUAAAUUCUACAUAUGUUGACCUCAGGAUGAGGAAGAUGAUGAGAAGGCAGACGAGGACAAGGCUGACUCCGAUGCUGAGGACGGCAAGGAUUCUGAUGAUGAGAAGCACGUAAGUUGCCCUCCAUUUGAAAUCCCUCAGUUCUGACCAAACAAUUUCCCAUGUGCCAAUCUAUGUCCUCAUACUAUGCAAUGAAUUCCAUUUCCAGGACGAGCUCUAGAUGGAGAGGAUGAAGAGGUGGCCGCCGACCUUGGAGCCGUAGGCCAAGAUUUAUCAGUUCUCCCAUUAUGAAGUUCCCAUUUUUCGUGAUCAGAAACUUUGACGCGUGUGUAGAAACAUUCGCUAAGAAGCUGAGGGACA
rnacentral:lncRNA from 1 species